GCGAAAACUUUACAAUGCUGGCAACAGCGAUAAGGGAACCUCGAGUGCCAGGUUACAAAUCUGGCUGUCGGGAUGCCUAAAAAAAAUUUCAAAGCAAGGGCCGGGCAAGACCGGUGCCAGCCGCCGCGGUAACACCGGCGGCUCGAGUGGUAACCGUUAUUAUUGGGUCUAAAGGGUCUGUAGCCGGCCGGAUAAGUCUCUUGAGAAAUCUGGCAGCUUAACUGUCAGGCUUUCAGGAGAUACUGUCUGGCUCGAGGCCGGGCUAGGUGAGAGGUACUUCAGGGGUAGGGGUGAAAUCUUGUAAUCCUUGAAGGACCACCAGUGGCGAAGGCGUCUCACCAGAACGGACCUGACGGCAAGGGACGAAAGCUAGGGGCACGAACC
rnacentral:rRNA from 1 species